rnacentral:rRNA from 1 species
UACAGAGGGUGCGAGCGUUGUCCGGAAUCACUGGGCGUAAAGGGCGCGUAGGCGGUGACUUAAGCGUGUGGUGAAAGCUCGGGGCUCAACCCCGAGUCGGCCGUGCGAACUGGGUCACUGGAGCAGAUCAGAGGCGGGCGGAAUUCCGGGUGUAGCGGUGGAAUGCGUAGAGAUCCGGAAGAACACCCGGUGGCGAAGGCGGCUCUCUGGGACGGUACUGACGGCUGAGACGCGAAAGCGUGGGGAGCGAACAGG